rnacentral:rRNA from 1 species
AUUGAACGCUGGCGGCAGGCCUAACACAUGCAAGUCGAGCGGAUGACGGGAGCUUGCUCCUUGAUUCAGCGGCGGACGGGUGAGUAAUGCCUAGGAAUCUGCCUGGUAGUGGGGGACAACGUUUCGAAAGGAACGCUAAUACCGCAUACGUCCUACGGGAGAAAGCAGGGGACCUUCGGGCCUUGCGCUAUCAGAUGAGCCUAGGUCGGAUUAACUAGUAGGUGAGGUAAUGGCUCACCUAGGCGACGAUCCGUAACUGGUCUGAGAGGAUGAUCAGUCACACUGGAACUGAGACACGGUCCAGACUCCUACGGGAGGCAGCAGUGGGGAAUAUUGGACAAUGGGCGAAAGCCUGAUCCAGCCACGCCGCGUGUGUGAAGAAGGUCUUCGGAUUGUAAAGCACUUUAAGUUGGGAGGAAGGGCAGUAAGUUAAUACCUUGCUGUUUUGACGUUACCGACAGAAUAAGCACCGGCUAACUCUGUGCCAGCCGCCGCGGUAAAAC